rnacentral:rRNA from 1 species
GACGAACGCUGGCGGCGUGCUUAACACAUGCAAGUCGAGCGGGGUCCAACUUGUCGCAAGACAAGGGAAGGCCUAGCGGCGAACGGGUGAGUAACACGUGAGGAACCUGCCCCGAAGACUGGGAUAACACCGGGAAACCGGUGCUAAUACCGGAUGUCCACCGAGGAUCGCAUGGUCUUUGGUGGAAAUGGAUUCCGCUUCGGGAGGGCCUCGCGGCCUAUCAGCUUGUUGGCGGGGUAACGGCCCACCAAGGCGACGACGGGUAGCUGGUCUGAGAGGACGGCCAGCCACACUGGGACUGAGACACGGCCCAGACUCCUACGGGAGGCAGCAGUGGGGAA